GGGAUUGUGGGGUAAUUUGGCUAUCCUUCCGGCUUUGGGAGCCGGCGAUCCCGGUUCAAAUCCGGGCAGUCCCA
rnacentral:tRNA from 1 species